CCUACGGGUGGCAGCAGUGAGGAAUAUUGGUCAAUGGGCGCGAGGCUGAACCAGCCAAGUAGCGUGAAGGAUGACUGCCCUACGGGUUGUAAACUUCUUUUGUAAGGGAAUAAAGUGAGGCACGUGUGCCUUUUUGUAGGUACUUUAUGAAUAAGGAUCGGCUAACUCCGUGCCAGCAGCCGCGGUAAUACGGAGGAUCCGAGCGUUAUCCGGAUUUAUUGGGUUUAAAGGGAGCGUAGAUGGGUUGUUAAGUCAGUUGUGAAAGUUUGCGGCUCAACCGUCAAAUUGCAAUUGAUACUGGCAGUCUUGAGUACAGUGGAGGCAGGCGGAAUGCGUGGUGUAGCGGUGAAAUGCUUAGAUAUCACGCAGAACCCCGAUUGCGAAGGCAGCUUACUAAGCUGCCACUGACAUUGAUGCUCGAAAGUGUGGGUAUCAAACAGGAUUAGAUACCCGGGUAGUC
rnacentral:rRNA from 1 species